rnacentral:rRNA from 1 species
CCUACGGGUGGCAGCAGUGGGGAAUAUUGGACAAUGGGGGGAACCCUGAUCCAGCCAUGCCGCGUGUGUGAAGAAGGCCCUCGGGUUGUAAAGCACUUUCAGUGAGGAAGAACGCCUGGUGGUUAAUACCCAUCAGGAAAGACAUCACUCACAGAAGAAGCACCGGCUAACUCCGUGCCAGCAGCCGCGGUAAUACGGAGGGUGCGAGCGUUAAUCGGAAUUACUGGGCGUAAAGCGCGCGUAGGUGGCUUGAUAAGCCGGUUGUGAAAGCCCCGGGCUCAACCUGGGAACGGCAUCCGGAACUGUCAAGCUAGAGUGCAGGAGAGGAAGGUAGAAUUCCCGGUGUAGCGGUGAAAUGCGUAGAGAUCGGGAGGAAUACCAGUGGCGAAGGCGGCCUUCUGGACUGACACUGACACUGAGGUGCGAAAGCGUGGGUAGCAAACAGGAUUAGAUACCUCAGUAGUC